UGUGGCGCAAGUUAAAGAAGCAGCCAAAUCCUUGUUGAUCAUGCCUGAUCAUGAGAAAUUCUGAAAAGAAUCUUAUGGUCAAGAAUUAAUGGUCCUUUCCUCCUCUUCUUACACUUCUCUCAAGCAAGAAUAAAUAAAUAAAAAAGACGGCGUCAUGGCAAAUAUUGAAAUGCAUCUGACAAAAUGUUGGUAAAGAUCAUCUGUGCGGCUGCAAGUACCAUGGGUGUAACUAGAAAUUUGCCACUUCAAAUUUCGUCUCAAAUCUCCAGCACAUGAACAAUUUCUAAGCUUCCACCUCUGAGAGAGUAUGUUUUUUCUUAACCAGAGUGACAUGUACAAGAUAUUACACUUGGAAGUCCAUGACAGGACCUCUUGUCAUCAUCCCAGCAAAAUGAUCUCCUAUAGCCUCAGAAAAAAGAUACAUCUACAAAGAUAAAAUAUCGAACACAAUCUCAGGACAUAGUUUAUGACUUCCAAGCAUUAAAAACGAAAUGGGAUGAGGAAGCUAAAGAACCAGUCAAAUCCUCGUUGAUCAUGCAUGGUCAUGAGGAAUUCUGACAAAAUCUCAUGGUCAAGAAUCAAUGAUCCUUUUCUCUUCUUACACUUUUCUCAAGCAAGAAAGAGGAAAAAUAGUUAAAUAAACGAAAAGACGCUGUCAUGGCUAAUACUGAAAUAUGAUGAAGAUAAACCACAUCUGCCAAAAUGCUGAUAAAGAUCAUCUGUUCAGCUACAACAUGUUGCACCUACUAUGGAUAAGUAGAAGUUUUACAUUUCAAAUUUUGACUCUCCACCAUAUGAACAAUUGUAAGGUUCCACCUCCGAGGACCACCUCCCUUCGCUGACAUGCAUCUACCAAGAUAGAAUAUCAAACAAAAUCUCAGGAUAUAGUUUAUGACUUCCAAGCAUUAAACAAGAAAUGGGGCGAGGAAGUUGAAGAACCGGCCAAAUCCUCGUUGAUCAUGCAUGAUUAUGAGAAAUUCUGACAAAAUCUCAUUGUCAAGAAUCAAUGCUCCUUUUAUCUUCUUCUUACACUUCUCUUAAGCAAGAAAAAAGGAAAACAGAUAAAUAAAUAAACGAAAAAAUGUUGUCAUGUCUCCUAUCGCUGCAGCAAAAAGAUAUAUCUGCCAAGAUAUAUAGGAUACCAAACAAAAUCUCAGGACAUAGUCUAUGACUUCCAAGCAUUAAACAAGAAAUGUGGCGAGAAAGUUAAAGAACCAGCCAAAUCCUCGUUGAUGAUGCAUGAUAAUGAGAAAUUCUGACAAAGCCUCAUGGUCAAGAAUCAAUGGUCCUUUUAUUUAUCUAUUUUCCUUUUUCUGGAAUCAAUGGUCCUUUUUCUCUUCUUAUUACACUUCUCUAAGGAAGAAAAAGGAAAAUAGAUAAAUUAACAAAAAUACGUUGUCAUGUAAUACGAUGAAAAUACACCACAUCUGGAAAAAUGCUGGUAAAGAUCAUCUGUAAAGCUGCAACAUUUUGUACGUACGACGGAUAAGUAGAAGAACAACCUCCCUUUGGUUGAAAGCGGCAUGCUGCAUGUGCAAAAUAACUCUAUACUGAAUAUCUGGAAGAUCUGCCACAGCAUGGUCAACCUCAGACGGUAUUACCAGCAACUCAGUUUCGGGCAAAGCAAAGUUUGGGCCCAACUGAAUUCAGACUAGCUGUGUUUGUUCAAGCAUGAUAUAUCUAUUAAUUGGGCAUCUACAACUCAGCUUGGUAAAACUGAGUGAAUCUCAUUGGUCCACACAGAUCUGUUUGUAGGAAUCAAAUGGCUUAGCCUAACCUGAAAAGUAUGAUUUGUUUCACUCUUGCUGAUCCUAAAAUAAUAUAGUUGCAUGCAUCUUGAACCAGAAUCGAACAAUCUGUCGGAGCUGAAUUCUAUGUUCAUUUGCAGUUUUGGUCGUGCUGCGAAGUUGCCCCAACAGUGCAAACUUCAGCCUUGUAGCCUAUUUCCACAGGAUACUACAUCUGGAUAUUGUGACCUCCUCAGCUGUGAUCACCUAUCUGGUUGGUGCAAUAUUCUUCUUUGCUGCCCUGAUGAACUUUAUCGCUGGCGCAUAUAUCCAGCGAACCACUGCUAUAUUUGUAUUCAGUCCCCUUGCAGUCCUGGUAAUUCUCCUUGCCCAUUAAACUCCCUGUAAGAGCAAUAUCAAUCAAGCCUAAUAGUGAAGUAGCAAACUUUUAAUGGCCUUCACUAUCUUGGUACUAUCAAGUAAACUGUGAAGCUUUAUGUUUCCCUUUGGCUUCUUAAGUUUCUAUUUCGGCUACCAGGUUGAAGUAGAGAUGCUGUAGUGAAGCAUAUUAUCUAGAAUUUAGUUCCCUUCUUUUUUGUUACUGACUACUGCAGUUAUUGUAUAAGAUAGGAUAUAAUUUUAGUCUUCUAUAAAGACAAUAAACAUAAGAGCAUGAACCAAAGGGUUGAUAGUAUUUUAUUUCAGUAACUGACCAAUUGAAGAGAGUGACCGCCCGUUGAUUGAGCAAUCUGCCAACAACUUAGACAAUUUUGGCCAUGUGUAUCAGUGUAUGAUCAUGCUCCCAUUUACUCCCUCCGUUCCAUAAUUGUUGUCAACGGGCGGUCAUUGUAUGGAACGGAGGGAGUACUUAACAGUAACUACUAUCAGAUCAUUCAGGUAUCUAAUAAUUGUGAUUGUGGAAGUAGAUGACAAAUCCUGAAUUCUAAAUAUUUUCUGUUCAACGACACAGGGCUAUAUGUUGCUAGCAUUGCAGGCAUACUUGCCUUCACUACAUCCUCUGGAUUGUGAGAUAAACAAAGAACCAAACAACUGUGAGUCAGCUAAAGGUUGGAGCUUAACACUGCUCUACUUGAGCUUAUUAAUGUUUGCCAUCGGAGAAGGCUGCAUGCGUGCUUGCAUACCAUUGCUUGGUGGAGAUCAGUUCAGCAAUGAUGAUCCAAAAGAAACACAUCUCAAGAGUACGUUCUUGAGCUGGAUCAAGUUUGCAAACUCCGUUGGAGCACUCAUGGGAUUGGUAUUCUUAGUCUGGAUCGAGAACAAUUUGGGCUGGGCCCUUGGCUUUAUGAUAUCUGCACUUAUUGUACUUGUAGGGCUGUUUGUGGCAGCCAGUGGACUGCCUUUCUAUAGAACACAGAAGCCUAAUGGAAGUCCUCUAAAGGGAAUAUUGCAGGUAAAACUUCAUACAGAGCACAGUAUGCAUGCUAAUUAUGAAGGUUCCAGUACUCAUUAGUCUCAUGUCAUCGUUCCUACAUCCUAAUCCAAGUGAACAACACAAUUCUAGACUAUCCGGUCCAAGUUUUACAGGGUAGAACAGAAUUUUGCUUGAUCCCAAUGCACUGGAUUAGUCAUUCUUAUAAUCUUAAUCCUGAAAGGUCACCAUGUCCCAUCCCUAACUAGCAUAUUAGUUACUCAUCAAGCAAUAAAGGAAUCAACACGCUAAUUUUCAAAAAUUGAAUGUGUCUCAUCCUGCAUCUAUCAAGUUAAAACAAGAAAAACUGAAGAUGCAGAUGGUUCUCAACAUUCAAGUUAUAUUCUCCAGGUUCUUGUCACUUCAUCAAAGAAGAGGCAGGUUGCUACCAUAGAUGUUAUCGAGCUGCAGGAGAUAGGAGCGGCCGAUAGUGUUGAUGGGGAAGGCAAAUCUGACAGCAAGAGCACUGGGUAAGUUCCUUAGUGGUCAACAUUCCCAAACUCUUGCCUUCUGUUUAGCUAAUUGUUAGUACAUUUAUAUUUCUGAAAAUAAGUAGAAGUGUUACAACCUAGGAUGUCAACAAUUUAAAGAGUAAAAGAAAUGCCCGGACGUAGCAAUAUCGUGAUAUUAACUCAAGUACUCAACUAUAAUCCUUUUAGCAUAUUCUUGGAGAAAUCUAGAAUAUAUUUGAUGGAGGUAACAAUUCAUUUUCAUUCUGCAGCACCACUCAGGUCGAGGAGUUAACAAAGGCCAUCACCCGAAUGCUUCCAAUCUUCAUCAGCUGCUUGCUCAUCUACCUGCCCUUCACGCUGCUAAUGACACUAACGAUACAAGUCGGCAGCACCAUGGACAAAGGGAUAGGCGUGAUCCAGAUACCUUCCGCCUCUCUAAUUGCAAUCCCAACAGCAUUUCACAUGCUUAUGCAACCAUGCUACAGGCAGAUAUUGACGCCACUGCUAAAAAGAUUUACAGGCCACACACACGGAAUCACCCCACUGCAGAGUAUCGGUGCUGGCUCGGUGUGCGGGGUAGCAGCAGCAUGCCUUGCGGCGUUAGUGGAAACAAGAAGGCUGACAGUCGCAGAACAGCAUGGGCUAACAUUGACAGGAGCAGGUGUCCCGAUGUCCGUGUUCUGGUUGGUGCUGCAAUUCUUCCUGCUAAGCAUCAUGGAUGCAGCAUCCUUCAGCGGACUGAUUGAGUUCAUAAAGAGCGAGUCAUCUCCGGAAAUGAAGCUGAUAGCACCGGCCAUGCAGUCCAUCGUUGCUGGAAUAGCAGCCUGGUUAGCAUGUGCCUUCAUACAGCUAGCGAACAAUGCUUCACGGCACGGGGAUGGCGGAAGAGGGUGGCUAGAUGGAGCAGACUUCAACAGGACGCGCCUUGAUCGUUUCUUCUUGUUGCUGGCAGGCUUUGAGUUUGUGGCACUCAUCAACUAUGCUUUCUGGGCGAGGAGAUAUGCCAAGAAGCAACGGAGCAGUGGUGUUUGAUUAGUCGGUGAUAGCUCUGAAAACUAAAUAGCCAAGCAUAGCGAGAUACAUAGGCAAUAGGUGAUAGACCAAAUAUUUUUUGAUGAAUUGUUUUAGGUAGUGUAUCAAUGCUAUACAGACUGUAACUGAGAAAUACUGUAAUCUCCACCAAUCAAUAUUCAGCAGUAGCUUGACAGCACCAGUGAUCCAUAAAAUGUGUCAUACAGAUACGUUACCUUUUUCAUUGAAAAGAAAAAAGAAGUGUCACCUCACAAAGUCAUCAAUAGAUUCGUCGAACAUCAAAGUGGAAUCGUGGUAGUUGGAGCAAUCGGGUAAGAACCAUCGUACCCAUCUUCCCAAGUCGAUACCCUCGCAGCCUCCCCGCUGAAGGACUCAGCGCCGCGGCACCCCAAUCUAACCACGAAACGCGGUGGCCGGAGAGUAAAAGGGAUAAAAGCAGUUCAGAUGCGGAGAAAGAAAACCUACCGCGGCGAGUCUCCGGCGAGCGGGCGGGGAACAGAGGUGCCGGACAAUGCGGGGACCGAAACGGCGAGGUGGACGGCCGGCGUGCGUGAGAUGGUAGUGAGAGUUGGGGGA
rnacentral:lncRNA from 1 species